UAAUGAUGAUGAUGAUGAUGAUGAUGAUGAUGAUGAUCUUGAGCGCCGCCACCACCACCACCACCACCACCACCAUCAUCAUCAUCAUCAUCAUCAUCAUCGCCA
rnacentral:pre_miRNA from 1 species